rnacentral:lncRNA from 1 species
ACAGCACCACAGGCCCCCGGAUCCAGCAGUUCCUCAACGAAGUCACCAUCCUCUCGCAGGUAAACCACCGCAACCUCGUCAAGCUCCUCGGCUGCUGCCUGGAAACCGAAGUCCCACUCUUAGUCUUCGAGUUCGUCCCGAAUGGAACUCUCUUCGAGCACUUACAGCACAGGAGAUCUUCGAUCCUCAGUUGGGAGAGACGCUUGCAAAUCGCCAUCGAGACCGCCGAGGCCAUCUCCUAUCUCCAUUCCUCCGCGGCACAGCCGAUCUACCACCGCGACGUCAAGUCCACCAACAUCCUCCUGGACGAGAAGUUCACUGCCAAGGUAGCGGACUUCGGGAUAUCGAAGUUAGUGAGCCUGGAAGCCACGCACGUCUCCACCACCGUGCAUGGAACUCCAGGCUACAUCGAUCCACAGUACCAGCAAAACUAUCAGCUUACCGACAAGAGCGACGUCUACAGCUUUGGAGUGGUGUUGCUGGAGCUCAUCACGGGGCAAAAGCCUGUGGAUUUCUCGCGGAACUCCUCGGACAAGAAUCUCACCGCAUUCUCGCUCGCUUACAUCCAGAGCAGCCGGAUCGAGGAUAUUAUCGACAAGGGCCUGGAGCUGGGAGACGAGAGAGCCAAGAUUUCGAGCAUACAAGAGGUAGCAAACCUAGCGAUCCGAUGCCUCGAGUUUAAUCGGGAGAACAGGCCGGCGAUGAGGAGUGUGGCCGAGGAGCUGAUGAAGAUCUCCGCCGCGUCGUGAUUGCCGCGAUCAAUCGCUCUGCCCAUUUGAAAUGCCAAACAAAGAUCAAACUUUUUUAGGGCUCUUCAACACCUAGUUGCAAG